UACAGAGGAGCCAAGCGUUGUCCGGAUUGACUGGGCGUAAAGCGCACGCAGGCGGACGCGCGCGUGGGGUGUGAAAUCUGGCCGCUUAACGGCCAGGCGCCAUCCCAUACGGCGUGUCUGGAGUGAUGCAGAGGUCGAUGGAAUUGCCGGUGUAGUGGUGAAAUGCGUAGAGAUCGGACAGGAACACCCAGGGGGAAACCAGUCGACUGGGCAUCUACUGACGCUGAGGAGCGAAAGUGUGGGGAGCGAACAGG
rnacentral:rRNA from 1 species